rnacentral:rRNA from 1 species
GAAUGAAGAAUACUCCUAGAGCUUAGCAUAUCAUUAUAGGAAGGAAUAGAAAUUAACGAAGAUUCUCACAGUAGUGGCGAAUGAACAGAGAUAAGUCCACGAUGGUAAACUGUAUUCCAAUACGGUGUUGUAUAUAAGAACUUAAGUGAUAAGCUGAAAAGCUUGACCAUAGCGGGUUAUGUCCCCUUCUUAUUGAGAUUGUUAGAUUAGCCUUGCUUGGUANNCAAGGUGAAUUGGGUGGUAGAUGGCAUCCAAGACUAAAUAUAACAGAACACCGAUAGCGAAGAAGUACUGCGAAGGAAAGAAGAAAGCUUUUCAGACCAAUAAAGUAUGUGAAA